rnacentral:rRNA from 1 species
GAUCCUGGCUCAGGAUGAACGCUAGCGGCAGGCCUAACACAUGCAAGUCGAGGGGUAGAGUUCUUCGGGACUUGAGACCGGCGCACGGGUGCGUAACGCGUAUGCAAUCUACCUUAUACAGGGGAAUAGCCCAGAGAAAUUUGGAUUAAUGCCCCAUAGUAUUAUGAAAUCGCAUGGUUUUAUAAUUAAAGUUCCAACGGUAUAAGAUGAGCAUGCGUCCCAUUAGUUAGUUGGUAAGGUAACGGCUUACCAAGACAACGAUAGGUAGGGGUCCUGAGAGGGAGAUCCCCCACACUGGUACUGAGACACGGACCAGACUCCUACGGGAGGCAGCAGUGAGGAAUAUUGGACAAUGGGCGCAAGCCUGAUCCAGCCAUGCCGCGUGCAGGAAGAAGCAUCUAUGGUGUGUAAACUGCUUUUGUACGGGAAGAAACACUCCUUCGUGAAGGAGCUUGACGGUACCGUAAGAAUAAGGAUCGGCUAACUCCGUG